GGAGGGUGCAGCUCAGUGGUAGAGCACGUGCUUAGCUUGCACGAAGACCUGAGUUCAAUCCCCAGGACCGCCA
rnacentral:tRNA from 1 species